GGGUCAGUAGCUCAGUAGGUAGAGCGGUGGACUCUUAAUCCACAGGUCGCGGGUUCGAAUCCCGCCUGACCCA
rnacentral:tRNA from 1 species